rnacentral:rRNA from 1 species
GACGUAGGGGGCCAGCGUUGUUCGGAAUUACUGGGUGUAAAGGGUUCGUAGGCGGUGCGGCAAGUCGGGUGUGAAAUCUUGGAGCUUAACUCCGAAACUGCAUUCGAUACUGCCGUGCUUGAGGACUGGAGAGGAGACUGGAAUUUACGGUGUAGCGGUGAAAUGCGUAGAUAUCGUAAGGAAGACCAGUGGCGAAGGCGGGUCUCUGGACAGUUCCUGACGCUGAGGCACGAAGGCCAGGGGAGCAAACGGG